rfam:Mesocricetus auratus contig190096, whole genome shotgun sequence.
CGGUUUCCUGCUUCAACAGUACUUAAACGGAACCCG